GACGAACGCUGGCGGCGUGCUUAACACAUGCAAGUCGAGCGGUGAGGCUCCUUCUGUAGUACACGAGCGGCGAACGGGUGAGUAACACGUGAGUAAUCUGCCCUUCACUUCGGGAUAACCACCGGAAACGGUGGCUAAUACCGAAUACGACCAGUCUUCGCAUGCGGUGCUGGUGGAAAGUCUUUUCGGUGAAGGAUGUGCUCGCGGCCUAUCAGCUUGUUGGUGGGGUAAUGGCCUACCAAGGCUUCGACGGGUAGCCGGCCUGAGAGGGUGACCGGCCACACUGGGACUGAGACACGGCCCAGACUCCUACGGGAGGCAGCAGUGGGGAAUAUUGGACAAUGGGCGAAAGCCUGAUCCAGCAACGCCGCGUGAGGGAUGACGGCCUUCGGGUUGUAAACCUCUUUCAGUACCGACGAAGCGCCCUGUCGGGUGGUGACGGUAGGUACAGAAGAAGGACCGGCCAACUACGUG
rnacentral:rRNA from 1 species